rnacentral:tmRNA from 1 species
GGGCGUGUUCCGGAUUCGACUGAGCGGAAAGGGGAGGGCAUAAGCAUACCGUAGCGCCGUGCUACGAUAAAAACGGCAAAUCUAAAUUUAUCUGCAGACAACAAUAGUCUUGCUUUCGCUGCUUAAUUAGCGGCGGUGUCGCCCGCGGGUUUUCCCGUCGGUUCGCGUGUGCGGCAUCAUUUCAGACGGGCUACGGUUCGGGCGUUUUCGUUGCGGCGCCCCUUCGGCAUUUAGUAUACGUACGGAAAGUAUUGUCGGCUUGCAGAUUGUGCUUUCAGGAGAUAAAAAGUUCAAGCUAAGUAUGUAGAAAUCCCUUCGAUUUGCGUUCAACACAGGAGUUCGACUCUCCUCACGUCCACCA